rnacentral:rRNA from 2 species
AGAGUUUGAUCCUGGCUCAGAACGUACGCUGGCGGCACGCCUAACACAUGCAAGUCGAACGAAGUAGCAAUACUUAGUGGCAGACGGGUGAGUAACAUGUAGGUAUCUGCCCUUUGGCCUGGAAUAACACGAGGAAACUUGUGCUAAUACCGGAUAAGUCUUUACGGAGAAAGCUUUAUGCACCAUUGGAUGAGCCUGCACUUGAUUAGUUUGUUGGUGGGGUAAUGGCCUACCAAGACUGUGAUCAAUAGCUGAUUUGAGAGGAUGAUCAGCCACAUUGGGACUGAGACACGGCCCAAACUCCUACGGGAGGCAGCAGUGGGGAAUCUUGCACAAUGGAGGAAACUCUGAUGCAGCGAUGCCGCGUGAGUGAAGAAGGCCCUUGGGUUGUAAAGCUCUUUCGUCGGGGAAGAAAAUGACUGUACCCGAAUAAGAAGGUCCGGCUAACUUCGUGCCAGCAGCCGCGGUAAUACGAAGGGACCUAGCGUAGUUCGGAAUUACUGGGCUUAAAGAGUUCGUAGGUGGUUGAAAUAGUUGGUGGUGAAAUCCCAGAGCUUAACUCUGGAACUGCCAUCAAAACUUUUCAGCUAGAGUAUGAUAGAGGAAAGCAGAAUUUCUAGUGUAGAGGUGAAAUUCGUAGAUAUUAGAAAGAAUACCAAAUGCGAAGGCAGCUUUCUGGAUCAUUACUGACACUGAGGAACGAAAGCAUGGGUAGCGAAGAGGAUUAGAUACCCUCGUAGUCCAUGCCGUAAACGAUGUGUGUUAGACGUUGGAAAUUUAUUUUCAGUGUCGCAGGGAAACCGAUAAACACACCGCCUGGGGAGUACGACCGCAAGGUUAAAACUCAAAUGAAUUGACGGGGACCCGCACAAGUAGUGGAGCAUGUGGUUUAAUUCGAAGAUACGCGCAGAACCUUACCAACACUUGACAUGUUCGUCGCGACUCUAAGAGAUUAGAGUUUUCGGUUCGGCCGGACGAAACACAGGUGCUGCAUGGCUGUCGUCAGCUCGUGUCGUGAGAUGUUGGGUUAAGUCCCGCAACGAGCGCAACCCUCACUUUUAGUUGCCAUCAUUAAGUUGGGCACUCUGAAAGAACUGCCAGUGAUAAGCUGGAGGAAGGUGGGGAUGACGUCAAGUCCUCAUGGCCCUUACGUGUUGGGCUACACACGUGCUACAAUGGUAUCUACAACAGGAAGCAAGACUGCGAAGUUAAGCAAAUCCCUAAAAGAUACCUCAGUUCGGAUUGCACUCUGCAACUCGAGUGCAUGAAGCUGGAAUUACUAGUAAUCGUGGAUCAGCGUGCCACGGUGAAUGCGUUCCCGGGUCUUGUACACACCGCCCGUCACACCAUGGGAGUUGGUUCUACCUUAAGGCAAGGUUUUAAACCCUUGACCACGGUAUAGUCAGCGACUGGGGUGAAGUCGUAACAAGGUAACC